rnacentral:rRNA from 1 species
CUGGCGACCGGCGCACGGGUGAGUAACACGUAUCCAACCUGCCGAUAACUCGGGGAUAGCCUUUCGAAAGAAAGAUUAAUACCCGAUGGCAUAGUUCUUCCGCAUGGUGGAACUAUUAAAGAAUUUCGGUUAUCGAUGGGGAUGCGUUCCAUUAGGUUGUUGGUGGGGUAACGGCUCACCUAGGCGACGAUCCCUAGCUGGUCUGAGAGGAUGACCAGCCACACUGGAACUGAGACACGGUCCAGACUCCUACGGGAGGCAGCAUG